GGUCUUUAUAAAAAAUCUGAAACAUUUUUUGUUGUUGUAGAAUUACAUCAUGAUGAUGAUGAUCAGAGCUAUACUGACAUCUGGACAAAGAGCAAAAAUGGAGUCCUGGAUUCACAGUUUAAAGAUUGAAAGUUUUUGUGAACAGAAUUUAGGUUAGCAGCAUAGAAAAAUCACUGCAUGCAGACCUUUCAACUCUGGAAAAGAAACCUUGGGCACCCAAGACCUUGUUGAGGCCAGGGGCAAGAAAUAGCAAGCAGUCUACCUGACCUGCAUGAAAAAUACACAUUUUGCCGGGAAACGAAUCUGACUUCACAUUACGAAAUUUUAGCAAGAGAGAGGCAAUUUGAUGAGCUUUCAUUCAAGAGGUCCUUCGUUGCUGAACGAAAAUUAAGGCUUUGGAGCUAUGAACCUGAACGUUAACAUUACAGCCUCAGAUGGAAAUGCAUUAGUGGAUAAUACCAAUAUUGAGCUCCAUGCUGAUACCUUGUAAAUUGAAUUGGAACUUCAUCAAAGAUUAAAACACAACAAUGAGACACACUAGAUAGUUUUUCAGUACAGACUUCACACCAUAAGAUUUUAACAAGAAAUGGGCAAUUAUAUGAGCUUUCAUUCAAGAGGUCCCUCGUUGCUGAACGAAAAAUAGGGCCGGAGCUAUGAACCGGAACGUUUACAUUUCCGCCUAAGGAAAAUGCAUCAGUGGACCGGAACGUUUACAUUACCGCCUAUGGAAAAUGCAUCAGUGGACUAUACUCAGGAGUUUCAUGUGGAUACGAAGCAACAAGAGUAAAAUGGUCAAACAAAAGGAAAAGGAAGUAAGGGAAUAUUUUUCAGACUGUUGCACAUCAAAUACACUCCCAUGAAUGAAAAUGUGCCCAAGACUUACAGAAUGUAACUAAAAGUGCGGAAGAAUAUUGUGGAAAAGGAUAUGGGAGACCAUAAAGAAAAAAUAUUGAAUGACCUUAAAAGAGUUAAAAAGUAAUAAAUUUGCUAAGAUUUGCACUUUUGAUUGAGUUAUGUCUUAGUGUACAGGAAUUGUUAAUAAUAUAUGUGUGUGCUCAUAGAAAAGAACAUCAUGCAUAUGCAUUGUAAUACCAGUAAAUAUCGUAUUGAAAUUGUUGAUCAUGUUAAGAUUUUCAAAGUUUAUGAUGAGUUACAGUGUGUCUAAUUCCACACAUACAAAAUUCUCUGUCACUGUUUUAAGGGGAAAAAAACCAAAUUGUACCAGUAUGAACAUUUUUUGAAUAUUUUUGGAUGUGUAUUUUUUAUGAGUCAGCCAAUGACUGUUGAAUAUUUAAACUUUCUCUGCAUUUUUGUAUGCAAGCUGAAUAUUAUGCCAGUUUAAAGGUCUAUGGAAUGCAUGUAAGAUGUUAGACAAUCUUUCUGUAAGAUUUGAUAAAUUUGUGUACAUGCAUAUGCAUUUGUGUAUAUUUCAUAUUUGAUGAUAAUUGUUGAAAUUGUUGAUAAAGUUGAGAUUUUCAAAGUUUAUGAUAGUUAUGUAAAUUGAUCAAUUUUGAGUUUAUGAUCAUAAAUUGUUGUUUAAAGUUCCUUUAAGUUGUUGUUUUUCACUUUCCUUAAUAAUGAUGCUCAAUUUUCGUUGAAUUUAUGGGUGCCUCUUAUCUACAAAUUAACUUCGUCCAUGGAUAAAUAAUUAAGGGUUAUAAAUAACGUCCCCGCAAACUUGUAAAAUUUAAGCAAUCCACGAAUUUUAAUGAUUUCACAGUAUAGUUGAUGCAUUUAAAGAUAAAGUUAUCAAAAACUUGAGUGUGUUAAAAAUUUUAAAUCAAAGUACUGAAGUAAUGACGGGAGUUAAUUUUAUUGAUUGUUGUUUAUCUUAAAAUCAACGAUGUGUAAUUUUGUAUGGUAAGUAUAAUAUGUAGUUUCAUAGCUGUAUUCAAAUAAUUUCGCACAUUUUUCUACUAUGAAUUAUCGGGCUUUUCCGAGCUAUAGACGGAAAACCCCACGUGAAUCAUGUUGUGUAAUAUUUAAGAAUAGAUUUAACGCCAUCAAACUCUACCAUGCAUUAUGUAUCAGUAAUUGAAAUAUAUCUUCAAAAUUGCAUCCCAGCAAUAUUGAACUUUGGCGAAGGAAUACAUACGACUACAAAAAAUAUCUAAAUUGUUUGUACCAUUUAAAAUCUGACUAUUUUCAAGGUAUUUAUAAAUAAGUUUCUGUGAAAAACAAUAGUUCGGAAUACAUUACAACAGAAUUAUUAAUUAUUUCCAAGUACUAAGUCUUGUCAGCAGUGAUGAUGUGUGCAUAGGUCCGAACACUGUUUCAAUUUCCGUUUGCCAUAGUAACUGCAUAGGAGAGUUGAUUAAAAUCAACUCACAAAAAUUACUCGAAGGAAAAGCAUACAUGACUGCAAGUAUAAAUACCGCAUAAAGGGAUUUUUUUUUACGUGUCACAAAUUUGCGAAAAUGGGAGAGAUAUGUAAUAUUUUUAAUUUGCGUCAGUCAUUUCUUGCAUUUUGAAAAGUUUCUAAAAGAAAAGAAUAUGGGAUAUUAUUUCUGUGAGUUUAAAAAAUUAAAAUAUAAAAGUGGUCGCGAAAAUUACCUGUAGAUCAUUGCAAAAAUUACCGUAUAUGCGGUAUUGCAUACAUGUUGCAAAGACAGCACUUUAAUUAACUCAGAUGUUUCCCUGAAUUACUUUGUUGGUUAAAAUUGCACAUUUCUGUAUUACCCAGUAAGCCACAGACUUUUCCAUGCUUUAUUGGGUAGAUGUUAUAAAGAAUAAACCCAAAAAAGCAUGGACAAGUCUCUGACUUAAUGGGUAAUGGAUACUAGUAUAGGUAUUUACCCCCCAAAACAGUGACAGUGUUUUACUUACUGUUUACUUAUUGGGUUAUUAUAAGAACAAUACCCAGGAAAGCAUGGGGAAGUGUAAGACUUAUAAGGUAUAACCAACCAAUAAUGGACACG